GAAAUCUGGCCCCUUCGGGGUCCGAGUUGUAAUUUGUAGAGAGUGCUUCGGGUGAGACCACGGUCUAAGUCUAUUGGAACAUUACGUCAUAGAGGGUGAGAACCCCGUAUGUGACCGUGGCUCGAGCCCAUGUGAAGCCUCUUCGACGAGUCGAGUUGUUUGGGAAUGCAGCUCAAAAUGGGUGGUAAAUUUCAUCUAAAGCUAAAUACUGGCUGGAGACCGAUAGCGCACAAGUAGAGUGAUCGAAAGAUGAAAAGCACUUUGGAAAGAGAGUCAAACAGUACGUGAAAUUGUUGAAAGGGAAGCGCUGGCAACCAGACCUGUCCGUAGACGAUCAGCCGCUGUUCUCAGUGGUGCACUCGUUCUGCGAUCAGGCCAGCAUCGGUUUCGGCGGUCGGAUAAAGGCCUGGGGAACGUAGCUCCCUUUCGGGGGAGUGUUAUAGCCCCGGGCGCAAUGCGGCCAGCCGGGACCGAGGACCGCGCUUCGGCUAGGAUGCUGGCGUAAUGGUUGUCAGCGACCCGUCUUGAAACACGG
rnacentral:rRNA from 1 species